rnacentral:rRNA from 1 species
GGAAUGAAGGAAUGCAUGAGAUUUAUACUUUCUUUAAUAUAAAAUUAUAAAUUAAAUUUUAAGUAAAAAUGCUUAAAUAUAUUUAUGGGACGAUAAGACCCUAUAGAAUUUAAUAUAUUUAAUUAAUUAUAUAAUUUAUAUAAAAUAUUUAUUUGAAUAUAUUUUGUUGGGAGGACAAUUAAAUUUAAUUAACUUUAAUAUUAUAAUACAUAAAUUUAUGAAUUUAAUAGAUUACUAAUAUUUAAUUAAGAAUUAAUUACCUUAGGGAUAACAGCGUAAUAUUUUUGGUGAGAUCAUAUUAAUAAAAAUGUUUGCGACCUCGAUGUUGAAUUAAGAUAUAAUUUAAAUGUAGAAGUUUAAAUUUUUAGUCUGUUCGACUAUUAAAAUCUUACGUGAUCUGAGUUCA